rnacentral:rRNA from 1 species
GGCAGCAGUAGGGAAUAUUGCACAAUGGGGGAAAGCUGAAUGCAGCAACGGGGCGUGCGCGAAGAAGGCGAGAGAGGAGUAAAGCGCAUCAGGAAAGGAAGAGGAAGGACGGUACUCUCAGGAAUAAGGAUCGGCUAACUACGUGCCAGCAGCCGCGGUAACACGUAGGAUGCGAGCGUUAUUCGAAUUUACUGGGCGUAAAGCGCGUGUAGGCGGAUUGGUAAGUUGGACGUGAAAUCCCUGGGCUCAACCUAGAGAGGUCAUUCAAAACUGCCUUGUCUUGAGGGCGACAGAGGGAGGUGGAAUUCCCGGUGUAGAGGUGAAAUUCGUAGAUAUCGGGAGGAACAUCAGUGGCGAAGGCGGCCACCUGGGUCGCACCUGACGCUCAGACGCGAAAGCUAGGGGAGCGAACGGGAUUAGAUACCCCGGUAGUCCCAGCCGUAAACGAUGUGCACUAGGCGCAGGUGGGGUCAAAUCCAUCAGUGCCGGAGCUAACGCGAUAAGUUCUCCGCCUGGGGAGUACGGUCGCAAGGCUAAAACUCAAAUGAAUUGACGG